CAACUGCAACCAUGUUGCUAGUUUAUUUCCUGGUGCUGCUCGUAGCUGCAUCCUUUGUAUUUGGUGCAAUUGAUUUUGCUCAGCCUGGUCAUGUGGUUGUCCAGCCUGGACAGGCUUUGACCAUUGGAUGUAAAGUGUCUGGAUAUAGCUUGACUGAUAGCAGCUAUUGUACAAACUGGAUCCGACAUGCUACAGGGGAAAACAUGCAGUGGAUUGGAUACAUUUGCAGCAGUGGAAGCACAGGGUACACAGAUUCACUAAAAAACAGGUUCAGCAUCACUCAGGACACCUCCAGUAACACAGUGACACUACAAGGUCAAAAUGUGCAGAUGGAAGACACAGCUGUGUAUUACUGUGUGCGAUACCGUAACACAGUGAUAUGUAUCACUUGAGUGCCUGUACAAAAACCCCGCAGAUCGGCC